ACGGACGCUGGCGGCGUGCUUCACACAUGCAAGUCGAACGGAAAGGCCCCAGCUUGCUGGGGUACUCGAGUGGCGAACGGGUGAGUAACACGUGGGUGAUCUGCCCUGCACUCUGGGAUAAGCCUGGGAAACUGGGUCUAAUACCGGAUAGGACCGUGCUUUAGUGUGUGCGGUGGAAAGUUUUUCGGUGCAGGAUGAGCCCGCGGCCUAUCAGCUUGUUGGUGGGGUAAUGGCCUACCAAGGCGGCGACGGGUAGCCGGCCUGAGAGGGUGUACGGCCACAUUGGGACUGAGACACGGCCCAGACUCCUACGGGAGGCAGCAGUGGGGAAUAUUGCACAAUGGGCGCAAGCCUGAUGCAGCGACGCCGCGUGGGGGAUGACGGCCUUCGGGUUGUAAACCCCUUUCGGCAGGGACGAAGCUUUUGUGACGGUACCUGCAUAAGAAGCACCGGCUAACUACGUG
rnacentral:rRNA from 1 species